rnacentral:tRNA from 1 species
GUCGACGUGGCCGAGUGGUUAAGGCGACAGACUUGAAAUCUGUUGGGCUCUGCCCGCACAGGUUCGAAUCCUGUCGGCGACG